UACAGAGGGUGCGAGCGUUAAUCGGAAUUACUGGGCGUAAAGCGCGCGUAGGCGGCUUUGCAAGCCGGAUGUGAAAUCCCCGGGCUUAACCUGGGAACUGCAUUCGGGACUGCAUUGCUAGAGUAUGGGAGAGGGAAGUGGAAUUUCAGGUGUAGCGGUGAAAUGCGUAGAUAUCUGAAGGAACAUCAGUGGCGAAAGCGACUUCCUGGACCAAUACUGACGCUCAUGUGCGAAAGCGUGGGGGAGCAAACAGG
rnacentral:rRNA from 1 species